rnacentral:rRNA from 1 species
UACGUGGGGUGCGAGCGUUAAUCGGAAUUACUGGGCGUAAAGCGUGCGCAGGCGGUUGGUUAAGUCUGAUGCGAAAGCCCCGGGCUCAACCUGGGAAUGGCAUUGGAAACUGGCUGGCUAGAGUGUGGCAGAGGGGGGUGGAAUUCCGCGUGUAGCAGUGAAAUGCGUAGAGAUGCGGAGGAACACCGAUGGCGAAGGCAGCCCCCUGGGCUGACACUGACGCUCAGGCACGAAAGCGUGGGGAGCAAACAGG